AUUGAACGCUGGCGGCAGGCUUAACACAUGCAAGUCGAGCGGGGGAAGGUAGCUUGCUACUGGACCUAGCGGCGGACGGGUGAGUAAUGCUUAGGAAUCUGCCUAUUAGUGGGGGACAACAUCUCGAAAGGGAUGCUAAUACCGCAUACGUCCUACGGGAGAAAGCAGGGGAUCUUCGGACCUUGCGCUAAUAGAUGAGCCUAAGUCGGAUUAGCUAGUUGGUGGGGUAAAGGCCUACCAAGGCGACGAUCUGUAGCGGGUCUGAGAUGAUGAUCCGCCACACUGGGACGUAGACACGGCCCAGACUCCUACGGGAGGCAGCAGUGGGGAAUAUUGGACAAUGGGGGGAACCCUGAUCCAGCCAUGCCGCGUGUGUGAAGAAGGCCUUAUGGUUGUAAAGCACUUUAAGCGAGGAGGAGGCUACUCUAGUUAAUACCUAGGGAUAGUGGACGUUACUCGCAGAAUAAGCACCGGCUAACUCUGUGCCAGCAGCCGCCGCCG
rnacentral:rRNA from 1 species